UAUAUCCUGAGAGGUGGUGCGUAGCCGUAGCGGCGAAAUCCAUGAUCCUAUGCUGCCGAGAAAAGCCUCUAGCGAGCUGGUACAUGGCCCGUACCCCAAACCGACACAGGUGGUCAGGUAGAGAAUACUAAGGCGAUCGAGAGAACUGUGGUUAAGGAACUCGGCAAAAUGCCCCCGUAACUUCGGGAGAAGGGGGACCAGUCCUGGUGACGACAUUUACUGUCUGAGCUGGGGUUGGUCGCAGAGACCAGAGAGAAGCGACUGUUUACUAAAAACACAGGUCCGUGCGAAGUCGUAAGACGAUGUAUACGGACUGACGCCUCCCCGGUGCUGGAAGGUUAAGAGGACCGGUCAGCCACUUCGGUGGCGAAGCUGAGAAUUUAAGCCCCAGUAAACGGCGGUGGUAACUAUAACCAUCCUAAGGUAGCGAAAUUCCUUGUCGGGUAAGUUCCGACCUGCACGAAUGGCGUAACGACUUCUCUGCUGUCUCAACCACAGACUCGGCGAAAUUGCAGUACGAGUAAAGAUGCUCGUUACGCGCGGCAGGACGAAAAGACCCCGGGACCUUCACUAUAGCUUGGUAUUGGUGUUCGGUUCGGUUUGUGUAGGAUAGGUGGGAGACUGUGAAACUCGCACGCCAGUGUGGGUGGAGUCAUUGUUGAAAUACCACUCUGACCGUAUUGGACAUCUAACCUCGGACCAUGAUCUGGUUCAGGGACAGUGCCUGGUGGGUAGUUUAACUGGGGCGGUUGCCUCCCAAAAAGUAACGGAGGCGCCCAAAGGUUCCCUCAGCCUGGUUGGCAAUCAGGUGUUGAGUGUAAGUGCACAAGGGAGCUUGACUGUGAGACGUACAUGUCGAGCAGGGACGAAAGUCGGGACUAGUGAUCCGGCACCGGCAAGUGGAAGCGGUGUCGCUCAACGGAUAAAAGGUACCCCGGGGAUAACAGGCUGAUCUUCCCCAAGAGUCCAUAUCGACGGGAUGGUUUGGCACCUCGAUGUCGGCUCGUCGCAUCCUGGGGCUGGAGUAGGUCCCAAGGGUUGGGCUGUUCGCCCAUUAAAGCGGCACGCGAGCUGGGUUUAGAACGUCGUGAGACAGUUCGGUCUCUAUCCGCCGCGCGCGUAAGAAACUUGAGGAAACCUGUCCCUAGUACGAGAGGACCGGGACGGACGAACCUCUGGUGUGCCAGUUGUUCACCAGGAGCACCGCUGGUUAGCUACGUUCGGAAGGGAUAACCGCUGAAAGCAUCUAAGCGGGAAGCCUGAUCCAAGAUGAGGUUUCUCACCACCUAGCGUGGUUAAGGCCCCCCACAGACCAUGGGGUUGAUAGGCCAGAACUGUAAGCACAGCAAUGUGUUCAGGUGACUGGUACUAAUCGGCCGAGGACUUACU
rnacentral:rRNA from 1 species